AAUCCUCUUUCUUUUCUUUUCUUUUUUUCUUAAAUUUAAUUUAUAUUUGUUAAGUUGCUUGAUUAAUUAGCAGCUAUUUUGUUUUUGGUGUUUGGUUUUUUAAAAGUAAGGUUACCUUUUUUUUUGAAUCAUGGUUUGAAAUUCAAUUUCAAGUAUAAAAGUUCCAUUUUUGGUCAAACUUCAUUAAAGAAAGAAUAAAGUUUGAAUAACUAUUUUUUCUUUUGUAUUUUGGUUUGGUUUUUAUGAAAGAGAUUUAGGAGUUUUGGCUUAGUUUUUGAACAUGAAUAAAAAGUAGAAGAGAUUUAGGAGUCUAUAUUCAUGAGUUUAAUUUUAAAGAAUCUGUAAAUAGGUUUCAUCUAGUACCGAAAUAUCUAUAAUUAAAAGUGCAGCAAACCCAGGAAGCUGAAGAUGAAACAUAGUAGAACUUAGGUUGCUGACAGUGGAUGAAAUUCUUUUGUAGUGGAAAGCAAAUGAAGCAACUCCACUUGCCCUGAUAAAAUCUAUACAUAGGGAGGGAAGGGGAGGGGUGUUGCUUUUUUUUUUUUUUUUUUUUGUUGGGUGUAACAGAAAAAUGGUCAUACAACCUUGAUGAAUGAUAGGGUUAACCAAUUUUUUUUUGCUAGUGUACAGAAGGAAAAAAAAAAAAGAAAACGAAAAAUGAUGGUAGUUAGUUUGGUGAAGGCUUGUGGAGGAAGAAAGUGUUUGGGUAAAGAAAGCUUUACAAAAUUUUGUUCUCGGCUUUAAAUUCCAUAGUGUAUUUUGCUUUGACUUUAUUGGUGUGUUUUUUUUCAUCCAAAUGAUGUAAUUCUUUGAAUUUGUGAUCAUGGAUGUUUUAAAUUUGAACAUGAUUGUGGGUUUGAAGAGAGAAAUUGAAUAUAGCAAUUAUAAUGUUGGGUUGGUAGUUUAAUAUCAAUGUUAAAUAUGUAGAAAACAUUCUGUUUGCCAUUGUUCUAAAAGAACGUUCUGUUAGUAAGAUGAAUAGAUAACUCUUGAAGGUUCAAAUUUAAUAUUUAAACGGUAAUUCAUUUGUGGUAGGAGGGGAUCGAACCUCUGCAACCUUUGGAGAGACAUGUCAUUUACCACCAAGUUAUACUCUUUUUUAGAUAUAAACGAAUACCAAACAGUGAUAGAUGGAUCAGAUUCAGUACUCUGAGAAGUACUUCAACGACAUUUAUGAGUACAGGCACGUGGUUCUCCCACCCGAAGUGGCAAAGUUGCUUCCUAAGAAUCGUCUGCUCUCGGAAGCAAGCAAUUUUGUUUUCUUAGUUUCAAAUUUAUGUGUCUCGAUUUUGUUACGAAAGGAAGUAUUAUCUGAUUGAUUGGGAAGAAACUUAGUUCAGUAGUUGAAUUCUUAUUUUCGGUUUAGGUAUCACUCUUGAGAGAUCUUAUGAAAUAGAUAUUAUUCUGUGGACAGUUUUUUCCCCUAUUUCUAAUCUUUUAUAUUUUCAUAUGAUCUUGAUAUUCUCUCUUUGAUUUGGCUGAUGGUUGCAUGAAGUUGAAACAAUGUUUUUGAGUAUUUCAGAUAGAAGUUAGAUGAAAAAGGAUUGAGAAUUUAGGGUCCCGAACCUCAUAUCAUGUUAUUCAUGAGGCCCCUGAACUACCAACAACAGCAGGAGAAUCGCACUCAACAAAAUGUGCUCGCUUCUAAAUAAUGAUUGCUUCAUUUUACUGAUUUUGUGAAGUGCUACUAUCCAGAAAGAAAGAAGUUAAUAUUCAGUCAUAAGCAUAUAAUGGUUUUAAAAUGAAAUAUUCUGGUGUUUGUGGUCAAUUUUCUUGCUUAGUAAAUAUGCAGGAGUUUCUAUGUUUACCUUGAACUUUGUAUGUUUGUAGAGGAGGCUUAUAUAUAUGCAUAUGCUCUGUAUCUUUGCUGGACACUGCGGUUCCUUGAAUUUAGAAGGAAAAAUGGGUUUUAUGGAUCUUGAUUCUUAACUUUCUGUGUAGAGGUGAAUUAUUUUUAUGUUGUGUGACUUCCAAAUGCUAUUAUUUUUAGAACAAAAGAUGGAUUUUGUUGAUUGUGAAUCAUGAUCGUGCUCCUUUUCUUUUAAUGGGUGUAUGCUAGUUUCUCAUUUUUGCAACAUCCAGUCUUGAGUAUUUGUACCACUUUAGUAAACUGCUUGCUGCCACAUACAUCUAACAUUUGGAUGAUGUGAAAUUUGUUUUAAAUUCUUUGGUUUAUGAUUUAGGCCAAAGAGAUUGGAAUGGUAUAAAUGAAGCUCAACGGCCUGGGUAUUGAGAAGAUAUUGUGUAAUUCAUUUGGUACAACUUUUGGGAAAAAAAUUUCUUCUAUAAUAUAACAAGCUAAAGACAAGAUCAACCUCCCAAGAUCCUAGCUAAAAGGUUCAACCGGAGUCGACAACUUCAUGAGUUUUCUUUCAAAGAACAUUUUCAGAGACGAACAUU